GGGUAAGUCUUAUGCGACCAGCUCCUGCUGAACUCCCCCAGGCCAGGAAUGGAGCAAGGGUAGGUGGUUGUAGCGGUGCGACAUAAGUAACUUACCCAUU
rnacentral:SRP_RNA from 1 species